rfam:Triticum aestivum genome assembly, contig: Triticum_aestivum_CS42_TGACv1_scaffold_145909_2BS
GUUUUACUCCCUUCGUUUAGAAUUACUUGUCUCGGAAAUGAAUGUAUCUAGAACUAAAAUACGUCUAGAUACAUCCAUUUUCGCGACAAGUAAUUUCGAACAGAGGGAGUAGUUC